rnacentral:lncRNA from 1 species
CACACAUUUUUGUGUGUUCUGUGGAUCGCCAGGAGCAAAAAGGAACCAAGGAGAAACCCUAGUUCCUAAAAUUCUCAAAAUCAGAAGGAGUUUAAGAGCCUAAACAAAUGCAUGAACCCAAAACUCGAGUUAUCUAAGCUUGUUCAACGAAUGGCACGAAGAAGGAAGAAGGUACGAGUCACUUGAAGUCACAAGCUUCACAAGAUCACUGCACGAAGAAGGAAGAAGGUACGAGUCACUUGAAGUCACAAGCUUCACAAGAUCACUGUAAAUCUCAUGCUUAGAAUGGCGAGCUCGGAUUCGAACACACCACAUCGUCCAUAUAUGCGCUUCCGGUUCAAGUUAUCUUUUGAAAUGGGUCAAAUAAUUUUUGUAAUGUAAAUGUAAAUUUUAUGUUUUAGGAUGUUCGUAAGUAGUUUGAAUUUUAAAACCUUUUUGGGUAGUUCGGACAUAACCUUUGUAUUAGGUCUUGUAUGGUCACUACUUUUAUUUCUUUUGAAAAAGUGUCGUAGAAGUUUAUUUGAAUGACGCUUGUUAAAAGCAGGGGAAAUGUUUAUAGUACGAACGGGUCAUGCCA